rnacentral:rRNA from 1 species
AGAGUUUGAUCAUGGCUCUUAUUGAACGCUGGCGGAAUGCUUUACACAUGCAAGUCGAACGGCAGCAUAGGUGCUUGCACCUGAUGGCGAGUGGCGAACGGGUGAGUAAUACAUCGGAACGUGCCCAGUCGUGGGGGAUAACGUAGCGAAAGUUACGCUAAUACCGCAUACGAUCUACGGAUGAAAGCGGGGGACCGUAAGGCCUCGCGCGAUUGGAGCGGCCGAUGUUAGAUUAGGUAGUUGGUGGGGUAAAGGCUCACCAAGCCGACGAUCUAUAGCUGGUCUGAGAGGAUGAUCAGCCACACUGGGACUGAGACACGGCCCAGACUCCUACGGGAGGCAGCAGUGGGGAAUUUUGGACAAUGGGCGCAAGCCUGAUCCAGCCAUUCCGCGUGCAGGACGAAGGCCUUCGGGUUGUAAACUGCUUUUGUACAGAACGAAAAGCUCUGGGUUAAUACCCUGGGGUCAUGACGGUACUGUAAGAAUAAGCACCGGCUAACUACGUGCCAGCAGCCGCGGUAAU